CAACAAGGACGCAUCAUGUCAGCUAUCAAUGCAAUUCCCCCCGAAAAGCUCUCCCGUUUGAUCGGCACGCCCGCGUGCCCCAUUCUCGUCGACGUCAGGACUGACGAGGACUUCAAGGCUGAUCCGCAUCUGAUACCCGGCGCAAGGCGGAGCGAUUAUGCGCAAGCCGCCGCGUGGGCAUCGGCAUUGUCCGGCCAGGCCGUCGUGGCAAUUUGCAAGAG
rnacentral:misc_RNA from 1 species